rnacentral:rRNA from 1 species
GAUGAACGCUGGCGGCGUGCCUAAUACAUGCAAGUCGAGCGAACAGACGAGGAGCUUGCUCCUCUGACGUUAGCGGCGGACGGGUGAGUAACACGUGGAUAACCUACCUAUAAGACUGGGAUAACUUCGGGAAACCGGAGCUAAUACCGGAUAAUAUAUUGAACCGCAUGGUUCAAUAGUGAAAGACGGUUUUGCUGUCACUUAUAGAUGGAUCCGCGCCGCAUUAGCUAGUUGGUAAGGUAACGGCUUACCAAGGCAACGAUGCGUAGCCGACCUGAGAGGGUGAUCGCCCACACUGGAACGGAGACACGGUCCAGACUCCUAAGGGAGGCAGCAGUAGGGAAUCGUACGCAAUGGGCGAAAGCCUGACGGAGCAACGGCGCGUGAGUGAUGAAGGUCUCCGGAGCGUAAAACCCUGUUAUGAGGGAAGAACAAAUGUGGAAGUAACUAUGCACGUAUUGACGGUACCUAAUAAGAAAGCCACGGCUAACUACGUG